rnacentral:lncRNA from 1 species
CCAGAGGCUGGGGGCUUCUAAACAACAGAAACUUCUUUCUCACCGUUCUCGAGGCUGGAAGUCCAAGAUCAAGGUGCUGGCAGAUUUGGCGUCUGCAGCACCAGGACUGAGUCUGGCUUCUCUGCCUGCAAGCCACCUCCUUCUGGGAGUUCCUCCCUGAUUCCCCUCUCUGUGUGGGGUCUGGGCUUCCCUGGCUCCCUGGAGAUAGAGAAGACCGCCCAGGAAAAGUAGGCAAGGGGCAGAACCUGCUCCUGCCAUAAGAGCCAGCAUCUCUCACAAGGCCUUCGAUGCAUCCAAAGAAGCCCACAGCCAUCUCUGCAGAGACACUCAGUCCUCAAAAGAAGUGGAAAACAGCAACCAGACCCCGUACUUAGAGCCACAGAGACCAAGGAGCAGCAUGAUGACGCCUGGCAGAGGCACAGCUCCCCAGAGGGUCUUCCGCUCCCCACUUCCUCCUUCUCUCCUCCCCUCCCUCCCUCUCUCUUGCUCUCUCUCUCACACUCACACCCGGAUACUCUGUGCAGUCAGGAAGAGACGUUCUGACAACAGGAAGUCAGGGGGCACACCUGAGGUCCCCGGGAGCUUCCUGGCACUGACCUGGGUGACAGAGGCAGUGUGGUUUGUCAGGGGUGGCACAGGGUAGACUGGCACAAAAGGAAC